AAGGUGUGGGCCUGGUCCCAAGUUGCACGAGCUAUAAGAAGGAGGCCUCCCACCUCUCUGCGAACUGACGAGAUCAGCAAAACCCCAUAUCCUUCCGAUUAGAAGGUGCUCGGUAGCAACUUGAAGACCAGGUGCGUCCAUCACUACAGCGAGCUGAUCUUCCUCUACGCCUGCCUCCUCAAGGAGGCAAUGGGUCGUCGGCGCCCUCAAAGGGAUCUUCUGAUCCACAUGUUGAGAAAAGGAGACACUCAGAAAAAAUGAAAAGCCCAGCUCGAGAACAGAAAAGCAGGUUAGCAUCGGGGGCUCCAUCUUCAGGCAGGUCACAUCUUCUCGGACGCCAGCUUGAUCUUCUUCAAACGCCAAUUGCCAAGGGGGUAGCUGCACCAUCGGGCCAUGUCCUCCUUCAAGGGUGUUGGGCAAAUGAGCAUCCACUCAUUUAUGAUACUCCACAGCUUUCCGAGCACCAGUUUGAUACUUGACCACUUCUGUCCAGGGAAAACAAGAUCAUUUUGGGUUAGCCAUAAACAUUAAACAACUCCUGCAGAUAUAGUGUUUAUAGCUUUAUAUCUUUUCUCAGCAAUCCAUUUACCAGCCAUGUCACGGUAAGAAUUUAUACAGGUACCAUUAAAAUCAAACAAGCAUAUGCCCACAACUGCUUGGCAACAAUACAUUCAAAGAAUAAGUAUUACAAAAUUGACAUUCUGGAGGUUUAACUAUUCCCCUGCCUGCCAAAUUAUCCACUGUAAUAAGUUUUUAUGGAAAAUAUUUUUUUACGAGUCCACUUUGUUCUUUGUUGAUACCUGAAGAAGGCAACUUUCGGGAAAUCUGAGGGUUGCCAUCCUGGGGCCUAGUUUUGCCAUGUGCCCUUGUAGCCCUAUAGGGUGCGGUCUACUUUCAUAUCAAUUAUAUCAUUGAUGGAUCGCAAGGGGUCAAAAGAAAAAUCUCAA